rnacentral:sRNA from 1 species
AUUCUGCCCAAGCGGGGAAGGAUGAGAAGCUUCGACCAAGGUUCGACUCGAGCGCCAGCGAGAGAGCGUUGCCGCAGGCAACGACCCGA